UAAGUAGAUACUAAAAAAAUAUUUUGGAACA
rnacentral:piRNA from 1 species